UACGUAGGGUGCAAGCGUUAAUCGGAAUUACUGGGCGUAAAGCGUGCGCAGGCGGUUUUGUAAGACUGUCGUGAAAUCCCCGGGCUCAACCUGGGAAUGGCGAUGGUGACUGCAAGGCUAGAGUUUGGCAGAGGGGGGUAGAAUUCCAUGUGUAGCAGUGAAAUGCGUAGAUAUGUGGAGGAACACCGAUGGCGAAGGCAGCCCCCUGGGUCAAAACUGACGCUCAUGCACGAAAGCGUGGGGAGCAAACAGG
rnacentral:rRNA from 1 species